rnacentral:rRNA from 1 species
UGGGGAAUAUUGGACAAUGGGGGAAACCCUGAUCCAGCGACGCCGCGUGAGUGAAGAAGUAUUUCGGUACGUAAAGCUCUAUCAGCAGGAAAGAAAAUGACGGUACCUGACUAAGAAGCCCCGGCUAACUACGUGCCAGCAGCCGCGGUAAUACGUAGGGGGCAAGCGUUAUCCGGAUUUACUGGGUGUAAAGGGAGCGUAGACGGCAGCGCAAGUCUGGAGUGAAAUGCCGGGGCCCAACCCCGGAACUGCUUUGGAAACUGUGCAGCUCGAGUGCAGGAGAGGUAAGCGGAAUUCCUAGUGUAGCGGUGAAAUGCGUAGAUAUUAGGAGGAACACCAGUGGCGAAGGCGGCUUACUGGACUGUAACUGACGUUGAGGCUCGAAAGCGUGGGGAGCAAACAGG